UCACCAAUGUGCUGCCUCCGUGCCAGGUUCUACAUAUAUGCAUGUGUAUAUCCUUCUCUAAUUCCUAAGAUAAGCCCUGUAGGAGAGGCCUGAUCACAGCCUGCCCCCCACCAAGUUUACAGGCGGAACUGGUGCUCUUGGGAGAAAUGCUGAGUUCAGAAUCAAGUCCUGGUAAAUCUAACGCCGUCAAGUUGCAGUGAGCCAAAAACGAGACACAAGGUGAAGGUGAAUGAUGUUUCAUUGGCGCUUACGUUAAGCUUCCACUCCAUCUUCAUGUCUCUGGAAGGGCACGCAAGACACAGCCACAGCCGCUGCCUCUGGGGCGGGGAUUGGGCGCUGCGAGUUAGAACUGGGAAGAGCACUUUCUUACCACAUACCUUUAGCCUUGUGUGAAUUUUAACCACGUGCAACUGCUGUGUUUUCAAACAAUAAGAGCUACCAACAGAACAACACCACAGAUUUCUCUCCAGCAAACAGUUUGGGGGCAAUUAAGAGAACUAUCUUACCCAAAG
rnacentral:lncRNA from 1 species